GUGCCAGCCGCCGCGGUAAUACAGAGGUCCCAAGCGUUGUUCGGAAUUACUGGGCGUAAAGGGCGCGUAGGCGGCCUUCUAAGUCGGACGUGAAAUCCCUCGGCUUAACCGAGGAACUGCGUCCGAUACUGAUCGACUCGAAGGCAGGAGAGGGUAGUGGAAUUCCCGGUGUAGUGGUGAAAUGCGUAGAUAUCGGGAGGAACACCAGUGGCGAAGGCGGCAUCCUGGACCGGUAUUGACGCUGAGGCGCGAAGGCGUGGGGAGCGAACGGGAUUAGAAACCCCAGUAGUCC
rnacentral:rRNA from 1 species